ensembl:snRNA U6 U6 spliceosomal RNA
GUGCUUACUUCAGCAGUAUAUACACUAUAAUUAGAACCAUACAGAGAUUAGCAUGGCCCCUGUGCAAGGGUAACACAAAUUCAAGAAUUGUUCCACAUUUUU